rnacentral:rRNA from 1 species
AACCAGCACCUCAAGUGGUCAGGAUGAUUAUUGGGCCUAAAGCAUCCGUAGCCGGCUCUGUAAGUUUUCGGUUAAAUCUAUGCGCUCAACGUAUGGGCUGCCGAAAAUACUGCAGAGAUAGGGAGUGGGAGAGGUAGACGGUACUCGGUAGGAAGGGGUAAAAUCCUUUGAUCUAUCGAUGACCACCUGUGGCGAAGGCGGCCACCUGGACUGAUACUGACACUGAGGUGCGAAAGCGUGGGGAGCAAACAGG